CGUGCAGGCGGUUUGGUAAGUCAGAUGUGAAAGCCCUGGGCUUAACCCGGGAAGUGCAUUUGAAACUGCCUUUCUUGAGUAUGGGAGAGGAGAGUGGAAUUCCCAGUGUAGAGGUGAAAUUCGUAGAUAUUGGGAGGAACACCGGUGGCGAAGGCGACUCUCUGGACCAAUACUGACGCUGAGACGCGAAAGCGUGGGGAGCAAACAGGAUUAGAUACCCUGGUAGUCC
rnacentral:rRNA from 1 species